rnacentral:rRNA from 1 species
AUUGAACGCUGGCGGCAUGCCUUACACAUGCAAGUCGAACGGCAGCACGGGAGCAAUCCUGGUGGCGAGUGGCGAACGGGUGAGUAAUGUAUCGGAACGUACCUUUCAGUGGGGGAUAACGUAGCGAAAGUUACGCUAAUACCGCAUAUUCUGUGAGCAGGAAAGCAGGGGAUCGCAAGACCUUGCGCUGAUUGAGCGGCCGAUAUCAGAUUAGCUAGUUGGUGAGGUAAAGGCUCACCAAGGCGACGAUCUGUAGCGGGUCUGAGAGGAUGAUCCGCCACACUGGAACUGAGACACGGUCCAGACUCCUACGGGAGGCAGCAGUGGGGAAUUUUGGACAAUGGGCGGCAAGCCUGAUCCAGCCAUGCCG